rnacentral:rRNA from 1 species
GACGAACGCUGGCGGCGUGCCUAAUACAUGCAAGUCGAGCGAAUCUUUUGGGAGCUUGCUCCCGAAAGAUUAGCGGCGGACGGGUGAGUAACACGUGGGCAACCUGCCUAUAAGACUGGGAUAACUUCGGGAAACCGGAGCUAAUACCGGAUACGUUCUUUUCUCGCAUGAGAGAAGAUGGAAAGACGGUCUCGGCUGUCACUUAUAGAUGGGCCCGCGGCGCAUUAGCUAGUUGGUGGGGUAAUGGCUCACCAAGGCGACGAUGCGUAGCCGACCUGAGAGGGUGAUCGGCCACACUGGGACUGAGACACGGCCCAGACUCCUACGGGAGGCAGCAGUAGGGAAUCUUCCGCAAUGGACGAAAGUCUGACGGAGCAACGCCGCGUGAACGAAGAAGGCCUUCGGGUCGUAAAGUUCUGUUGUUAGGGAAGAACAAGUACCAGAGUAACUGCUGGUACCUUGACGGUACCUAACCAGAAAGCCACGGCUAACUACGUGCCAGCAGCCGCGGUAACAC